rnacentral:piRNA from 1 species
UUGCUACCAUUCUUUUCCAGGGUCUCAGG